UACGUAGGGUGCGAGCGUUAAUCGGAAUUACUGGGCGUAAAGCGUGCGCAGGCGGUUCGUCGUGGCUGAUGUGAAAGCCCCGGGCUCAACCUGGGAAUGGCAUUGGAAACUGGCGGGCUUGAGUGUGGCAGAGGGGGGUGGAAUUCCGCGUGUAGCAGUGAAAUGCGUAGAGAUGCGGAGGAACACCGAUGGCGAAGGCAGCCCCCUGGGCUGACACUGACGCUCAGGCACGAAAGCGUGGGGAGCAAACAGG
rnacentral:rRNA from 1 species